CAGCCGCCGCGGUAAUACGAAGGGGGCUAGCGUUGCUCGGAAUUACUGGGCGUAAAGGGAGCGUAGGCGGACAUUUAAGUCAGGGGUGAAAUCCCAGAGCUCAACUCUGGAACUGCCUUUGAUACUGGGUGUCUUGAGUGUGAUAGAGGUAUGUGGAACUCCGAGUGUAGAGGUGAAAUUCGUAGAUAUUCGGAAGAACACCAGUGGCGAAGGCGACAUACUGGAUCAUUACUGACGCUGAGGCUCGAAAGCGUGGGGAGCAAACAGGAUUAGAUACCCGAGUAGUCCCUGUCUCUUAUAC
rnacentral:rRNA from 1 species